rnacentral:rRNA from 1 species
UACGAAGGGGGCUAGCGUUGCUCGGAAUCACUGGGCGUAAAGCGCACGUAGGCGGAUCGUUAAGUCGGGGGUGAAAUCCUGGAGCUCAACUCCAGAACUGCCUUCGAUACUGAGGAUCUCGAGUCCGGGAGAGGUGAGUGGAACUGCUAGUGUAGAGGUGAAAUUCGUAGAUAUUCGCAAGAACACCAGUGGCGAAGGCGGCUCACUGGCCCGAUACUGACGCUGAGGCGCGAAAGCGUGGGGAGCAAACAGG